rnacentral:rRNA from 1 species
CCUACGGGGGGCAGCAGUGAGGAAUAUUGGUCAAUGGACGAGAGUCUGAACCAGCCAAGUAGCGUGAAGGAUGACUGCCCUAUGGGUUGUAAACUUCUUUUAUAAAGGAAUAAAACGAGGCACGUGUGCCUUUUUGCAUGUACUUUAUGAAUAAGGAUCGGCUAACUCCGUGCCAGCAGCCGCGGUAAUACGGAGGAUCCGAGCGUUAUCCGGAUUUAUUGGGUUUAAAGGGAGCGUAGAUGGGUUGUUAAGUCAGUUGUGAAAGUUUGCGGCUCAACCGUAAAAUUGCAAUUGAUACUGGCAGUCUUGAGUACAGUUGAGGUAGGCGGAAUUCGUGGUGUAGCGGUGAAAUGCUUAGAUAUCACGAAGAACUCCGAUUGCGAAGGCAGCUUACUAAACUGCCACUGACAUUGAUGCUCGAAAGCGUGGGGAGCAAACAGGAUUAGAUACCCCUGUAGUC